rnacentral:lncRNA from 1 species
UUCAAUCCAGAGGUUAUACAAGAAUUGCAUAAGUAGCAGCAGUUCACGUAAAGUAGUUUCCGUGGAGAUGAUCCAUUGGCUCGAGGGCACAGUACUUGACAUUAUUUUGAGAAUAAUUGCCGGAAAACGUCACACUUCACAAUCAGAAGAGGCUAAUGAUUGGCAACGGCAAAUAACAAAGAUCGCUGCCUUGUCUGGUCAGUUCGUGGUGUCCGAUGCGUUGCCCUUUCUGAGACGGUUAGAAAUCGGUGGAUAUGAGAGAUUAAUGAGCAUGACAGCUAAAUAUUGCGACAUCAUUUUGCAAGAAUGGGUGGAUGAGCACAAGAUGAAAAGAGUUUCUGGUGAAGUUAAGGGCGACGAGGAUUUCAUAUAUGUGUUGUUGUCCCUACUUGAUGAUAAUGCAGAGCAGCUUCCGGAUUGCGAAGCUGACACUGUCAUUAAAGCAAUCUGCUUGGUAUAAUAUAUCCUUAUGAAAUGCUUGUGGUGUGUUUGUGUUUGCAUUGUAACAUGAAUGUCACAGAUUUCUUAUUGCUUUUAAUUUGCAGACUCUAAUCGUAGCGGCUGCAGAGACCACAGUAGUUACAUUGACAUGGGCUAUUGCUUUACUUCUCAACAAUCCCGAGGUUCUGAAGAAGGCACAAGAUGAAUUAGACAUUCAGGUUGGUACUGAAAGGCCAGUGAAUGAAUCAGACACGAUAAAUUUGGUUUACUUGCAGGCCAUUAUCAAGGAAACGAUGCGUUUAUACCCUGCUGCACCACUAUUAGUACCUCACGAGUCUAUAGAAGAAUGCGUCGUCAAUGGUUACCAUGUCCCCGCAGGCACCCAACUGUUUGUUAACGCUUGGAAGAUUCAACGCGACCCAAGUGUAUGGGAGGAGCCAUGUCAGUUUCAGCCAGAAAGAUUUCUUACGAGGUAUAAGGAUAUUGAUGUCAGGGGGCAAAAUUUUGAAUUGAUACCAUUUGGCAGUGGAAGACGAAUGUGUCCUGCAGUGUCAUCAGGCCUCCAAGUUGUGCAACUAACGCUUGCUUCAUUAGUGCAUGCGUUUGAUUUUACAACCCCAUCAGAUGAACCGGUUGACAUGGGAGAGGCAAUGGGCCUAACCAUUGCUAAAGCUACACCACUUGAAGUGAUUCUUACUCCACGCCUUUCUGCUUGUUUAUAUGGUUAAAAUUAGCUUGUGUACUUGUUAAGGCAAAAAUAAGUUGUACUUUUGAACGACUUAGUGAUAAGGUGCGUUUAUAUCAAUGGGUGUCAUCACCGUGCGUUUAUCACGUUGCAUUAUAUUAAAGGUGAGUUUGACAUAUCAUAUUACAUUGUAUUAUUUUACGUUUAGUAAGUUGUUUUUUAUUGUAUUAUGUUAACAUUAUAUUAUAUUAAUAUUGUAUAAUAUUUGAUACUAUAUUGGACUAUAUUAAUUUUUAUUUAUCUUAUGUUUGGUGUUGCAUUGCAUUGCAUUACAUUAUAUUAAUUAUUUUGGUGAAAAAUUUAGAUUAAAAGUUGGGAAAAAAUAUUAAUUAGCACUUAGAAAAAAUGAUAAAAUAGAUAUUGUAAAUUUUAUAAUUUUUUACAUCAAUUAUAUUUUAGUAUAAAUGUAAAAGAUAUCACAAUUCUUUUGAACAUAUGUAAAAUUAAAAAAUUCUAGCCGUUCUCAAAUAUAUAUCUUGUGAAAUAAAGAUCAAAGAAAAUAAUUCAAUCAAAUAAUCUCUAAAAAUUAUCAUAACAUAAAUAAAUAGAUAAAAGCCAUCUCAUGAUAAAGAUGACAACAAAAGCAUUUGCAUAUACCACAACAAACUAGAACCCUAAUCACUAAAUAAAAUGGAUAGAACAAUGCACCAAACUGAGUUCAAUUUAUAGCUGGAGGACGUUCUAAUUCUGUUGGUUCUUCCAGGGCUCUGGCUCACUGGUGGUGCCAUAAGCCCCUAUGGACGGGCCCUCUUCAUGAUGUUACACACAUCACAGAAAUUAAAUUCAGCUGAGAAGUGGGAUGGGUUGGUAAUGGCACAUGAACUGAUCUGGGAAAAAUUUUAUCACGGAUGAUAGAUGAAAGUGACCCCAGAUUGCCAUUUGGAUACAUCAAACUGGAUGAGGUCCUUGACUUAAGUUAAUUUCUUCGGUUUGUUAAAUGACAAUCCUAUUCUUCUGUCAUUUAUUCUGCAUUGUUGUGUUGAAAUUCCAUGUAGUUGGUGAUUUUUCUAACUUCAUUAGAUGGCAAGCAGUGCAAGGAUGAAUUCUCCUUCCCUAGAGACCAUGAUGAGCGCCAUGCAAAAGGUAUUCUUGCAGUAGACUCUUUAAAGUGUUUAUUACAUACCAAGCCUUUGUGUCAUAUGAAGGAUUGACAUCUUGGGAAAGCUGUAAAAAAAGGCAGCUAUUCUUCCCUCAACUGGGUAUAAAGAAAGGAUGUCCACAGCUCCAUUCUGCAUUUCCUUGUAUGACCAUGCCUAGUGACUAUUGCAGGAGGGAUGCGUAGCAAGUAGGUCACACAUUGCUUCCAAUGCAAUCAAGACAAAUUGUCCCAUGGUAGUAUGCAUCAGGAUCGCCAAGGAACUUCAGGGCUGCCAGAAAACAUAGGCUAAGUGAUGUUGGUAUGGACAAGACUGGUAGCAGAAGCCAUGCCUAGCUUUUCCGGAAGCAAUCAGAAUUUAGCGAUGUAACUGCGUCUCCGUAGACAGGAGUUGAUUGCCCAUAUGCACCCAAGGGAUUUUUUUUUUUUUUGGCCAACUGCAAGAUUUUGAACGAACGGAACGAAGGCCGCAAUGAAUUAUGAAAAGGGUGGAUUAAAAUGAUUUUAAUUAUAUUGACUUGGAAGAAACCGAUUCCUGAGUUUCAGUAAAAAAUUAUGAAUUGAUUUUAAUAUAGUUUCAUACAUGGUAUACUUUGACGCAAUUAUCACCGAUUAACUAAUAUAACAUAAUUAAAUUUAAAUUCAUUUUGUUUAAAUAAAUCAAUACACAUCAUAGCUGAAAAUAUAGACUUAGGAUUCUUUCCUAGUCUUUUUUUUUUCCCUCUCGUAGUCUCUCUCAAUAUUCCAAUUCUAGUUAAAAAAAAAAUGACUUAAUUGUAAACAAAGUGAAACAAGUCUGCCUAAAUUAUUAACAUUAAAAUUCAAGAGUUGGUCUAUGGCUGGUGGGCUUCCUAUUCUCAGUAAAAUCUCGGCUUGCAGCUUAGAUUUAGUUCGGUGGGGCUAUCAUCGUGCUCGGGAUUUCAAAGCUCAAAUUAAGAAGUGCAAGGAUAAAAUGCAUCAGCUUCGGGGCAAGCGUGAUGAAGUCAGCUUGACUGACUUUAUUGAAGCUCGAGAUAGGUACAAUGAGCUCUUGCAUAGCCACGAAGUUUAUUGGAAGCACCGUUCGAAGACGUUUUGGCUUCGGGAUGGGGAUUCAAACUCAAAGUUUUUCCAUGCCAUGGCCUCAACUAGGAAGUGUACGAAUACCUUAAUCAAGCUUCGCAAUCAAGAGGGGCAAUGGUGUACUAAUCCUGAGGAUGUAAAUAAUUUAAUUUGUGAGUAUUUCACAACUUUAUUUACUGCUGGGAUUUGUUCUUAUGGUGAUGUGCUUAAUUGUGUGGAAUCUAAAAUUACUGAUGCACAAAAUCAAUCUCUUUUGGAACCUUUUGCUGCUGAAGAUGUUCAAUCUGCCGUGUUUGAUAUGCAACCUGAUAAGUCCCCUGGUCCUGAUGGAAUGAACCCAGCAUUUUACCAAAAGUUUUGGAAUGUUGUGGGUACUGAUAUUACUGAGGCGUGUUUUAGGUUCAUUCGGGAUUGUUCUUUCCCUGAUGGGCUUAAUGAGACUUCUAUUGUCCUUAUUCCUAAGAAGAAACAAAUAGAGUUCUUAACUGAUGUUCGACCAAUUUCCUUAUGCAAUGUCCUCUAUAAAAUUGUAGCCAAGAUGCUUGCUAACCGUAUGAAGAUGGUUUUAGGAUCGAUAAUUUCCGAUUCUCAGAGUGCUUUUGUUCCAGGCAGAGCUAUUGCGGAUAAUGUAUUAAUCUCGGCUGAGAUAAUGCACUUUCUUAAACGGAAACGUUAAGGAAAGGAAAGGAGGGGAUUGCUGCUUUAAAGAUCGACAUGUCCAAGGCUUAUGAUUGGAUUGAGUGGGGGUUUCUUAGAUCGAUUUUACUGAAGUUGGGCUUUGAUGUUGGUUGGGUGAAUCUUAUUAUGCUAUGUGUCACUACAGUUACCUAUAAGAUUACCCUGGAAGAGUUGGAGCUGGGCCCUAUCGUGCCAAGUCGAGGUCUUAGACAAGGAGAUCCGCUAUCGCCAUAUCUGUUUAUCAUCUGUGCAGAGGGGCUGAGUUUGCUGAUAAAUCACUAUAAGAGGGCUGGGAUGAUCCAUGGGGCUCGAGUUGCUAGAGGUGCUCCUUUGGUUUCUCACCUCUUUUUUGCUGAUGACUGUUUUCUUUUCUUUAAAGCUACUGUUCAUGAGGCUCACCUGGUAAAAAAGAUUUUGGCAACUUAUGAAGCAGCUUCGGGGCAGCAAGUGAACUACAAUAAAUCCUCAGUUUCUUUCAGUAGGAAUAUGGUCGAGGAUACUAUUCAUAAUAUCUGUCAACAGCUUGGAGUUGUAGCUACUACAGACCAUGGUACCUAUCUUGGAUUACCAUCAUAUGUUGGGCACAAGAAAAUAGACAUUUUCAGAUACAUAAAGGAUAAAGUUUGGCAAAGAAUUCAAGGGUGGCAUCAGAAACUCCUCUCUAGAGCUGGAAAGGAAAUCUUAAUUAAAAUUGUGGCACAAGCCAUACUUAAUUAUGCUAUGCAAGUUUACCUCCUCCCUCUCGACCUUUGCCGGGAUCUUGGAAGGAUGAUGAAUUCUUUUUGGUGGGGUAGUAAAAGAUACGAUAGUGGUGGAAUUAAGUGGAUGCAGUGGGGCAGACUUUGUAAGCCCAAAUCUUAUGGUGGUAUUGGAUUUAAACACAUUCAUAAAUUUAAUGUUGCUAUACUAGGGAGACAAGGCUGGAGGUUAAUUACAAAUCCAUCUUCGCUGGUGGGCAGAUUGUUUAAAGCAUGGUAUUAUCCUAAUGCAGAUUUCACUCAAGCAAAGUUGGGAAGUAAUCCGAGUUAUGCAUGGCAAUCGAUUUUGGCUGCUCAGAAGAUUUUAAUCCAAGGGAGUCGUGUCCAAGUUGGGAAUGGGCAGAGCAUUACUAUUGGCUCGGUUCCCUGGUUGCCUGAUCAGGAGAGUGGCUUUAUUACAACUAAUCUUCCAGCGAUGUUAGCAUCAGCUCCUGUGAGUAGUCUUAUGAUUCCUAAUCACCGAAUGUGGGAUUAUGACCUUGUAAAGGAUGUGUUCAACAGAAGAGAUCAAGACUGCAUUCUCCAAAUUCCUCUUAGCUCUCGGAGUAAUUGUGAUACUUGGUAUUGGCUCCCCGACGCAAAAGGAAUUUACACUGUUCGGAGCUGUUAUAAGUGGAUGGAUAUUAUAUCGGAACCGCCUGGCAGUGGAGUUUGGAGUAAGAUUUGGAAGCUGGCUGUGCCCGCCAAAAUCAAGAAUUUUCUUUGGAGAGCUGUGGCAAAUGUGGUUCCCACUGCUGAUAACCUUCUUAGUCGUCGAGUCGAGGUACACCCUUAUUGUACUAUCUGUAAUGCAUCUCUUGAGACAACUUAUCAUGUCUUAGUUGAUUGUCCUUUUGCCAAACAAUGCUGGAUGGUUUCCUUGGUUGGCUUUGCUAGAAAUUUUGUUAAUUUUGGAGCUUGGUUGGAUGCUCUAUUUAUUCGGUGUAGUAUUGAGGAUAGUUGUCUUGCUGCAAUGGUUUGUUGGGGUCUUUGGCAGAAUCAGAAUAAUAAAGUUUGGAACCAUGUAGUAGGCAAAGUGUCUCAAGUGCUCAAUAAAGCUGGUCAAGAUGUUCCAAUGGCAAAAGGCUCGUCAACUGAGUCACUUUACUCAGAUGCCAGCAGAUUUAACUCUUGGCUCUGUUUGCUGGAAACGCCCUCGCUUUGGAUGGUUUAAAUGCAAUGUGGGCGCUGCCACUUCCCGAGCUACUGCUAGGAUAAGCUACGGCGCAGUUAUUCGGUCUUCUGAGGGUAACUUUCUUGCUGCAAAAUGUGGUUCUUUGAUUGGAAUUUUUGAAGCUCGCGAGGCAGAGGCUUUGGGUGUGCGAGAGGUCUUGAGUUAGCUUAAGAACACCCAGUUUUUUCCUAUUAUUAUUGAGACUGAUUGUUUAUAAGUUUUUAAUGCUUUGAUUGACUCCAAGGACUAUCAGAACGGCUUUGGUCUUAUUAUUUCGGAUUGUAGAGCCUUGGCUCAUUGCUUAAAAUAGAUGACUUUCUCUUUUGUAAGGAGAUCUGCGAAUACUGCUGCCCAUAUUGUGGCUAAGGUGGAGUGUUCUUUGUCAGGUCCGAGUGAAUGGAGACAUGUUCCACCACCCUGGUUAUUUUCUCAUUUGUCUAUUUAAUGAAUUUCUUCUUUCUUCAAAAAAAAAAAGAGUCAAGACUAAUCAUUUUAGAGGCUAUUAGAGAAAAAAGAUUUGAAGAGGAGUCAUGUUAAAAAAUAUAAAUAAUACAUCAUACAAGAUCCUUAAACAUUAUUUGAUAUGUCAUUACAUUUAUAAAUGGCAAGUCAUUCAAUUUUCACUCUAGAGUAAAGAUUAUACAAAAUGUUAUCUGCCAUAAAACUAUAAACGACAUAUACCGUAUCUGAUGAAUUUCAGACAAGUAAUUUAACUCCAAGUAAGAAUCAACAACAUUUUACCUAUUUAGUAUCUUAAUUUCUUUUGAAUUCCAAUUGAUGUGACAUUUAUUUAUUAGAUGGUAAAUUAAAAAUUUCGUAAGUUAUGAAGUUCAUCAUAAUGAGUGUCAUAUAAUAUUAAGAGUCAUGUUGAAACUCAAAUAUUAAAACCCCUAACUUAGCUAAGUAACAUAAAAUUUAGAAACUCAUUAAAUAUGCAUAAAUGUUUAUAAUUAACUUAUUUUGCAGCUAAUUUUUCCAACUUGAAAACAUGUUAAUUCCAAAGGUCCCUUGAGAUGAAGAUUCCUAAUUUCACCUUAACCUUGGUGUGACAGUAAGCUUGACUUGAUAUCCUUAAAUGGUUAAACAACUAGAGCCUAUCAAAAUUAAUAGAACAAGUGUGAAAUACCUUCUCAAUAUACUGAAAUGAAUUCCUACCACUACAAAAUUUUAUAAUUCUCAUUGAAAUUAAAAAUCCCAAAAAUUUAACAAUAAUUCUUAAGACUUUGAAAACGAAUGAGCGGGAAACACUGAAACUUCAUACACAAAAUUCAAGUGCUUGUAGGUAUCUAAAAGUAUAAUAGCAGAUUAAGAAUGGGAUAGACUUCAUGGGCGAACUGGAACUCCAAUGGCUGGGCGUGGCGCUUGACCAGGCUGACCAGGCUUUGGCAAAUCAUCCUGAAAAGAAAAAGGGCAAAAAAAAAAAGAAAAAAUAUAUAUAAGAGCCAAUGAAGAAAAUUUUCAAGUACGCGAGCACAAACGAAUACCAUAUAAAACUGACAAGCUUAACCAUUUUUCAAAUGCUACAGAUAUCACACAGCAAUUAUCCCAAGACCAAAAACACAUCCUCAAUUUGGGCUUUUAGUUCUUGUAAAACAAAGGAAAAAGCUACCACACACAGACACAACACUGUCUCCUUUUUUUCCUCUUUCCUCCCGCACCACCCCUCCCCCCUUUCUCUUAGGUUAACUCAGAAUUAUGCAUUUUUAACAGGCUGAAUCAGGAUAUUACUACUAGCAAGGAAAUACUUAUGAUAAAGCACACUAGGUAAAAGGUCUAUCUGCCUACGUCUAUAACCCGUAAAUCACUCUAAAAAUCAAUAUGAACAGAGACCAUUAGCCAAAACCCAGAUUAAAAAAUCUCAAUAGAAACAUGAAAAAGAUACCCUGCAUCUCAUAAAACGCUUUGGUGGUUCACGGUUCCUGCGGUCAGUGCGUGAGUGAACCCUCACCACAUGCGAGUGAAUUGCACCAGAGACACACUACUGCAUCUUUGCAUACAACUUAGGCAGAACAUAGUCUGGAUCAAAUACAAAAGAUUCUCAUUAUUUCCCAUUCAAACAAUACAUAAUUAAUUACAAAAUAAGAGAAAUAAUAACAUGUGUGGCAGAUAUUUACUGUCAUAGAUGCAGGCAUCCUGCACGUCUCUAACAGCAGCUUGCUCAACAAUGUUCCUCACAAGGAAUCUCUUAAUGGCCUUGUCCUUUUCAUCCAUUCACAACCCAAAAUAAAAAAAAAAAAAUGUGUCAAAUUACAACAAACAAAAGGCAUAUUAAUUAAUUUUUAAAUGCAAACUUAACAUCAUUACAACAACUCUAGUCUAAUCUAACUGUAUGAUUUGACCAAUACAUCCGCAAAAUUUAUCAUGACACAAGUUUACAAAAAUAUGGAAGAAUUGAAAAAAUGAUUCUUCUUUCCCGUAAUGCCACACAAUUGCCUCAUUUGGGAGGGAAAAAUUCUCAAUGUCGUUCAUUUUUAUCAAAAAAAAAAAAAAAAACAGGGAAACAUAUAAUACUAAUAAUAAAAAAACAGAUACAAUUUUAAUUAAUGAAAGCGAUACAAAAAUAAAAACAAAAGUGUAUAUUUUGGGGCAGCAUUUGCCGUUCCGACGCUCGAAGGUCUGCCACAGAAAAAAAUAAAUAUAAUAAAUCAAAUUUAUAUUAAAUAAAAACAAUUCUUCUUUUUUCAAUAAUAAUAUUUUUGGAAAUCAGAAAGAUAAAACAUUUUCGCAAACCAUUCUGUUUUCUUCAAGGGAUGAUCUCCCCUUUCCAAUUUUUGACAACCACGCCUAACCCAAUCAUCAUUUCUUCUGAAGUUGACAUUGCUGCAUGAGUAAAAAGGAAUAUUGAAAUUGAAUUAAUAAUUUGGAAGAAUAUCAUAACGCAAUUAAACAAAAACUGAAUAUUUUAUCUUUCCUACUCUCUCAAUAAUUUUGACUGCAUACUUUUUCUGAAAAAAAAAAAAAAAAACUCAUAUCUAGAUUCAGUCACAAAGCCAAAUCUCUCUAAUCAUACGUCUAUAUUAAGAAACACAAAUAAGAGAUUCCAAGAACUUGGUAACACCCUUUUGGAAUAAUUGAUUCUGGAUUUUCAUACUUGGAUAAUGGCUUUUGCUUGGAUACCUCUCCAAUCACUCCAACCCUUUCACACAAUUGAUUGAAUUUCACUUGCUUGAUUUAUAUUACAUCGAGAUUUUGAGCCCGGCAUGGUUAAGGAGUUUUAAAAGUGUAAAAAAUUGGGUGAUUGAAAAAUGAUAGAGCUGAAAAUGAGGGAAAAUUUAGAAUUAUGGGAAUUUUAUUGGGGAAGAAAAAGUAUUUUAAACUCAAUGAUGGGGUGAUUAAGAAAUAGACUGAAUAAAAAAUAAAAAGAAUUUGAAUACCAUCACUCAAAUUUAAUUGUUUAUUAUUAAAAACAUUAACCGAUGAUUUCUAUUUAUAGAAAUAAUAUUUAAGUCCCACAAAUUUUUUUAUUUUUAACUAUUUGUAUCUUUUUCUAAAACUUAUUAUACUCAUAAGAUAUCAAUAAUUAAUGUUCAAAAUGACUUUUUCUAAAUAUUAAAACAAUUAUUAUUAUUAUUAUUAUUAUUAUUAUUAUUAUUUGUUGUAAUAUAGUGGUAGGGACAAAAAUCUAAGGGUGAAAAAAAAAUUGGUAUUUAAUAGAAUUUUCUGUGGCUAUGAUGACCCCAGCAUUAUCUCCAACAUUAUCUCCAACCAUUUUAAAGGUUGAAAUUACAAGAGAAGUCGUAUCGUAUCAAUGUACUAUGUUUAUCACAAUUGUUUAGCAACCACCAAAUUGGCCGUAUAAAGUCGUUGAUGAAUCAGAAAAAGAUACCAUUGUCGAAAACUUGGCCAUUGUGGUCCCUGAUGUAUAAAACUGACCAUAGGAUUAGCAAAGGUUUGUCAAUGAGCAGAACUUACGUUCACGUCAAGCACACUUAAAUGUUAUCUAUAUACUGUAUAGACAUUGCUCUGAACUAAACUCUUGAUUCAGAGUCCCCGAGUCGGCUGCAAAGGAAUGGCCAUGAAUAAUCUUUCAACAGAAUCGACUGCUGCUGUAGCAAUUUCAGCCUUAGUGAUAUUCCUCUCAAUUUUCCUCUUGAUUUCAAGAAAUGGGCGAAAAAGGACACUCAAGAAUAAGCAACGAGCACCAGUUGCAGGGGGAGCAUGGCCUUUGAUAGGCCACCUACAUCUCUUACAAGGGCCAGAGCCAGCUCACAGAGUUUUGGGGCGACCUGCAAAAGCUUUGUCAUUUGUGGUAAAACACUCCUUAGCAAUUUUCCAGUUGCUCACCACUAAAGCUUGUAUCACCCCCAAUUUCAUAGUGAAUAUUUGGGCAACCUGGCUGACAAAUAUGGAACAAUAUUCACUAUGAAGUUGGGGGUGAAACAAACUUUAGUGGUGAGUAACUGGAAAAUUGCUAAGGAGUGUUUUACCACAAAUGACAAAGCUUUUGCAGGUCGCCCCAAAACAAUGGCCGUAGAGCUUAUGGGGUACAACUUUUCGGUCAUAGGCUUCGCGCCAUAUGGCAAGUACUGGCGUCAGUCACGUAAGAUAGUGACAAUUGAGCUUCUGUCAAAUCGUCGCCUUGAGAAGCUCAAACACGUACGUGAAUCUGAAGUGAAGGCUUCAAUCCAGAGGUUAUACAAGAAUUGCAUAAGUAGCAGCAGUUCACGUAAAGUAGUUUCGGUGGAGAUGAUCCAUUGGCUCGAGGGCACAGUACUUGACAUUAUUUUGAGAAUAAUUGCCGGAAAACGUCACACUUCACAAUCAGAAGAGGCUAAUGAUUGGCAACAGCAAAUAACAAAGAUCGCUACCUUUUUUGGUCAGUUCGUGGUGUCCGAUGCGUUGCCAUUUCUGAGACGGUUAGAUAUCGGUGGAUAUGAGAGAUUAAUGAGCAUGACAGCUAAAUAUUGCGACAUCAUUUUGCAAGAAUGGGUGGAUGAGCACAAGAUGAAAAGAGUUUCUGGUGAAGUCAAGGGCGACGAGGAUUUCAUAUAUGUGUUGUUGUCCUUGCUUGAUGAUAAUGCAGAGCAGCUUCCUGAUCGCGAUGCUGACACUGUCAUUAAAGCAAUCUGCUUGGUAUAAUAUAACCUCGUGAAAAGCUUGUGGUGUGUUUGUGUUGUAUUGUUAUACGAAUGUCACAGAUUUCUUACUGCUUUUAAUUUGCAGACUCUAAUCGUAGGGGCUGCAGAGACCACAGUAGUUACAUUGACAUGAGCUAUUGCUUUACUUCUCAACAAUCCCGAGGUUCUGAAGAAGGCACAAGAUGAAUUAGACAUUCAGGUUGGUACUGAAAGGCCAGUGAAUGAAUCAGACACGAGAAAUUUGGUUUACUUGCAGGCCAUUAUCAAGGAAACGAUGCGUUUAUACCCUGCUGCACCACUAUUAGUACCUCACGAGUCUAUAGAAGAAUCCGUCGUCAAUGGUUACCACGUCCCUGCAGGCACCCAACUGUUUGUUAACGCCUGGAAGAUUCAACGCGAUCCAUGUGUUUGGGAGGAGCCAUGUCAAUUUCAGCCAGAAAGAUUUCUUACUAGGCAUAAGGAUAUUGAUGUUGGGGGACAAGAUUUUGAAUUGAUACCAUUUGGGAGUGGAAGAAGAAUGUGUCCUGCAGUGUCAUUUGGCCUCCAAGUUAUGCAGCUAAUGCUUGCUUCAAUAGUGCAUGGGUUUGAUUUUACAACCCCAUCAGAUGAACCGGUUGACAUGGGAGAGGCAAUGGGCCUGACCAUUGCUAAGGCUACUCCACUUGAAGUGCUUGUUAGUCCGCGCCUUUAUGCUUCUUUAUAUGGUUAAAAUUAGCUUGUGUAGUUGUUAAUGCAAAUAAUUAAGUUGUUCUUUUCAACAACUUAGUGAUAAGAUGCGUUUAUAUCAUUGGGUGUCAUCACUGUGCGUUUAGCACACUGCAUUACGUUAAAGGUGAGUUUGGCAUAUUAUACUACAUUGUAUUAUUUAACAUUUAGUAAGUUGCUUUUGACUGUAUUAUAUUAACAUUAUUUAUAUUAUGAUAAAGCACACUAGGUAAAAGGUCUAUCUGCCUACGUCUAUGACCCGUAAAUCACUCUAAAAAUCAAUAUGAACAGAGACCAUUAGCCAAACCCAGAUUAAAAAAUCUCAAUAGAAACAUGAAAAAUAUACGCUGCAUCUCAUAAAACGCUUUGGUGGUUCACGGUUCCUGCGGUCAGUGCGUGAGCGAACCCUCACCACAUGCGAGUGAAUUGCACAGGAGACACAGUACUGCAUCUUUGCAUACAACUUAGUCAGACAUAGUCUGGAUCAAAUACAAAAGAUUCCCAUUAUUUCCCAUUCAAACAAUACAUAAUUAAUUACAAAAUAAGAGAAAUAAUAACAUGUGUAGUAGAUAUUUACUAUCAUAGAUGCAGGCAUCCUGCACGUCUCUGACAGCAGCUUGCUCAACAAUGUUCCUCACAAGGAACCUCUUGAUGGCCUUGUCCUUUUCAUCCAUUCACAACCCAAAAUUUAAAAAAAAAAAAAAAAAUUGUGUCAAACUACAACAAACAAAAGGCAUAUAAAUUAAUUUUUAAAUGCAAACUUAACAUCAUUAAUUUUUAGUAACUUGGAAGUGAGAAGACGGAAUAAUUAAAUAAUAUUUGUGUUAUAAGAUAUGAUAAAAAUCAGAUGUCUAAUUGUAACUGGUAUUCCUAACCAUCGUGGUAGCGGGGAUGCGCGGAUACCAAUAAACAACUCUAGUCUAGUCUAACUGUAUGAUUUGACCAAUACAUCCGCAAAAUUUAUCAUGACACGAUUUUACAAAAAUAUGGAAGAACUGAAAAAAUGAAUCUUCUUUCCCGUAAUGCCACGCAAUUGCCUCAUUUGGGAGGGAAAAUUUCUCAAUGUUGUUCAUUUUUAUCAAAAUAAACAAAAAAAAGGGAAUCAUAUAAUACUAAUAAUAAAAAAACAGAUACAAUUUUAAUUAAUGAAAGCGAUACAAAAAUAAAAACAAAAGUGUAUACUUUGGGGCAGCAUUUGCCGUUCCGACGCUUGAAGGUCUGCCACAGAAAAAAAUAAAUAUAAUAAAUCAAAUUUAUAUUAAAUAAAAACAAUUCUUCUUUUUUCGAUAAUAAUAUUUUUGGAAAUCAGAAAGAUAAAACAUUUUCGCAAACCAUUCUGUUUUCACACAAAGCUAAUCAGAAAGAUAAAAUAUUUUUGACAACCACGCCUAACCCAAUCAUCAUUUCUUCUGAAGUUGACAUUGCUGCAUGAGUAAAAAAGAAUAUUGAAAUUGAAUUAUUAAUUUGGAAGAAUAUCAUAACGUAAUUAAACAAAAAACUGAAUAUUUUAUCUUUCCUACUCUCUCAAUAAUUUUGACUGCAUAAUUUUUCUGAAAAAAAAAAAAAAAAAAAAACUCAUAUCUAGAUUCAGUCACAAAGCCAAAUCUCUCUAAUCAUACCUCUAUAUUAAGAAACACAAAUAAGAGAUUCCAAGAACUUGUUAACACCCUUUUGGAAUGAUUGAUUCUAAGGGUGAAAAAAAAAAAAUUGGUAUUUAAUAGAAUUUUCGUAAUGACAAAAAGGAAAUGGACCCAAGUGAUAAAACAAUAUAAUUGAUGGACAAAAGAUCAUUUUUUAUUUGUGUUGCUGACACCGUAGUUUUGUUUACGCUUCCCGACCCAUAAUAUUCAAGUGCAGGUACUUUUGUCAUCCCAUAUAAAGUAAAUGAAGUUUACCAAGUCAAAAAGGUAGCUUUAAUCUUCAAGCAAUACAGCUGCAAAUUUCGAGUUUUCAAACUUUGAAUUUAUUUUUUUCUUUUUCAAACAUCCGGUACCUACCCUUGACAUAUUUUCCUCUCAAUUUUUUUUAUUCUUCCUCUGUUGUCUUCUUUCUUCAUUUUCCUAUGCCCGGCAUUGACAAAGCACACUUAAAUGUUAUCUAUAUACUGUAUAGACAUUGCUCUGAACUAAACUCUUCAUUCAGAGUCCCCGAGUCGGCUGCAAAGGAUUGGCCAUGAAUAAUCUUUCAACAGAAUCGACUGCUGCUGUAGCAAUUUCAGCCUUAGUGAUAUUCCUCUCAAUUUUCCUCUUGAUUUCAAGAAAUGGGCAAAAAAGGACACUCAAGAAUAAGCAAGCUCAACAAGCACCGGUAGCAGGGGGAGCAUGGCCUUUGAUAGGCCACCUACAUCUCUUACGAGGGCCAGAGCCAGCUCACAGAGUUUUGGGCAACCUGGCUGACAAAUAUGGAACAAUAUUCACUAUGAAGUUGGGGGUGAGACAAGCUUUAGUGGUGAGCAACUGGGAAAUUGCUAAGGAGUGUUUUACCACAAAUGACAAAGCUUUUGCAAGUCGCCCCAAAAGAAUGGCCGUAGAGCUUAUGGGGUACAACUUUUCGGUCAUAGGCUUCGCGCCAUAUGGCAAGUACUGGCGUCAGUCACGUAAGAUAGUGACAAUUGAGCUUCUGUCAAAUCGUCGCCUUGAGAAGCUCAAACACGUACGUGAAUCUGAAGUGAAGGCUUCAAUCCAUAGGUUAUACAAGAAUUGCAUAAGUAGCAGCAGUUCACGUAAAGUAGUUUCCGUGGAGAUGAUCCAUUGGAUCGAGGGCACAGUACUUGACAUUCUUUUGAGAAUAAUUGCCGGAAAACGUCACACUUCACAAUCAGAAGAGGCUAAUGAUUGGCAACAGCAAAUAACAAAGAUCGCUGCCUUGUUUGGUCAGUUCGUGGUGUCCGAUGCGUUGCCCUUUCUGAGACGGUUAGAUAUCGGUGGAUAUAAGAGAUUAAUGAGCAAGACAGCUAAAUAUUUUGACAUUAUUUUGCAAGAAUGGUUGGAUGAGCACAAGAUGAAAAGAGUUUCUGGUGA